rnacentral:rRNA from 1 species
GACGAACGCUGGCGGCGUGCUAACACAUGCAAGUCGAACGGUAAGGCCCUUCGGGGUACACGAGUGGCGAACGGGUGAGUAACACGUGGGUGAUCCGCCCUGCACUUCGGGAUAAGCCUGGGAAACUGGGUCUAAUACCGGAUAGGACCACUGCCUGCAUGGGUGGUGGUGGAAAGCUUUUGCAGUGUGGGAUGGGCCCGCGGCCUAUCAGCUUGUUGGUGGGGUGAUGGCCUACCAAGGCGACGACGGGUAGCCGGCCUGAGAGGGUGACCGGCCACACUGGGACUGAGAUACGGCCCAGACUCCUACGGGAGGCAGCAGUGGGGAAUAUUGCACAAUGGGCGCAAGCCUGAUGCAGCGACGCCGCGUGAGGGAUGACGGCCUUCGGGUUGUAAACCUCUUUCAGCACCGACGAAGCGCAAGUGACGGUAGGUGCAGAAGAAGGACCGGCCAACUACGUGCCAGCCGCCGCAGUAA